UUUCCGUAGGUGAACCUGCGGAAGGAUCAUUAAUGAGUCGAGGGUCCUCUGGGCCCGAACCUCCCAACCCUUUGUUUACUGAACCACUGUUGCUUCGGCGGGCCCGUCUUCUCACGAGGACCGCCGGAGGACCGCCGUCACAGGCGUCCUCUGGCCCGCGCCCGCCGAUGGCCCAACCACAAAACUCUUUAUUGAACCGUGUCGUCUGUCUGAAUGUCAUAACAAGCAAAUAAAUGCAAAACUUUCAACAACGGAUCUCUUGGUUCUGGCAUCGAUGAAGAACGCAGC
rnacentral:misc_RNA from 1 species